ACGUGAUCUGAGUUCAGACCGGAGCAAUCCAGGUCAGUUUCUAUCUAUAAUAGGAGCUUUCUCUAGUACGAAAGGACCGAAAAAGCACGGCCAAUAUUUUAUGCAAGCCGUUACUAGUAAAACAUGACCAAAUCUUAAUUAAUAUGCAUUCCCCUAAUAAACUUAAAAAAAAAGU
rnacentral:rRNA from 1 species